UACCCAGGAACUCCUAUCCCUACCUCCUUGUGGUACUGGCUAGGGUACGAGUAACCUUGGGGAAGAUCGGGUAACCAACCCCGGUGGGAACUUUGGUCGUAUGCUGACAGGGAAGG
rnacentral:ribozyme from 1 species